AAAUAGGGCCAGAUUGCACCACGGCGCAAAAGCGGAGGGACCCUACGCGUAAAUAUCCCCUUUACCGUAGAAACACGCGGAUCCUAGCUGAGUUCGGGUCAGUUUUCAGGUCUGACACAAAACGGCGUCGUUUUGGCCACUGGUGUUUAAGCCCAAAACGACGUCAUAUUAUACCCUACAUAAAUAGCAAAAACAAGAAAAAAACAUUCUAGCCUUCAUUUAAAAAAAAAAACAAGAGAGUUCUCUCAACUCUCUCCCUCAUCCCUCUUUCCAGCCAUGGGUCCAGCCAUCAACCACCAUGCCGGUCGUCGGUCACCGACGACGACAUUGCCAUCCGCGGUGGCCAGAAAAAGCCAAAACCAC
rnacentral:lncRNA from 1 species